CUGUUUAUACGGCCGCCCUUCGCCCUUGAGAGAUCCUGGCUCAUGAUGAACGCUGGCGGCUUUUUAACAUGCCAUCGCCGAAUGGAUUAGGGCGUGUUUUGAAGUUAACUGCCGACGGUGAUAACAGCGUGGGUACCUGCCCAUAAGACUGGGAAACCGGAAACCGGAGCUAAUACCGAAACAUUUUGCCUGCAUGGUGCCGAAACGAAGGCGGCUUCGGUGCCCUAUGGAGGACCCGCGCGCAUUAGCUAGUUGGUGGGACGGCACCAAGCACAAUGCGUAUCACGACCUAGAGGGUGAUAGCCACUGGGACUGAGACACGCCCAACUCCUACCGGAGGCAGAAUAGGAUCUUCCGCAAUGGACUAAAGUCUGCAGCCCACCACCCAGAAGAUGAAGGCUUUCGGUCGCAAAACUCUGGGUAAGGAACACAAGGUAGGCGAUAAGUUCCUUGCGGACAACCAGAAAGUCAUGCUACUACCCCAGGACCCCACUAUCCGGGGGAAAGUAUCCGAAUUUGGGCGUGGCCUGGGUCUUAGUCUGAUGAAAACCCCACGGCUCACGGGUAGGUUUUAAACCUGGACACUGGGCCAAAAGGAAAUGCAUUCAAUGUGUACGAAACAUCAAC
rnacentral:rRNA from 1 species